rnacentral:rRNA from 1 species
CCUACGGGAGGCUACAGUGAGGAAUAUUGGUCAAUGGGCGGAAGCCUGAACCAGCCAAGUCGCGUGAGGGAUUAAGGCCCUGCGGGUCGUAAACCUCUUUUGCCGGGGAGCAGAGGUCCGGACGUGUCCGGGCCGGGAGAGUACCCGGAGAAAAAGCAUCGGCUAACUCCGUGCCAGCAGCCGCGGUAAUACGGAGGAUGGGAGCGUUAUACGGAUUUAUUGGGUUUAAAGGGUGCGUAGGCGGUCAUUUAAGCCGGCGGUCAAAUGUCGGGGCUCAACCCCGGCCUGCCGUCGGAACUGGGUGCCUUGAGUGGGCGAGAAGUAUGCGGAAUGCGUGGUGUAGCGGUGAAAUGCAUAGAUAUCACGCAGAACCCCGAUUGCGAAGGCAGCAUACCGGCGCCCUACUGACGCUGAGGCACGAAAGUGCGGGUAUCGAACAGGAUUAGAUACCCCAGUAGUC